CCUAACCUCUGUGACCGGGAUAACUGGGCGAAAGCCUUGCUAAUACCGGAUAAGCCCACGACCUCCAAGGAGGAAGAGGGAAAAGGCGGCCUCUGUAAACAAGCUGUCACAUGGAGAUGGGUCCGCGGCCCAUCAGCUAGUUGGCGGGGUAACGGCCCACCAAGGCAACGACGGGUAGCUGGUCUGAGAGGAUGAUCAGCCACACUGGAACUGAGACACGGUCCAG
rnacentral:rRNA from 1 species